GCGCCCUUAGCUCAACUGGAUAGAGCAUCCGGCUUCUACCCGGAUGGUUGGGGGUUCGAGUCCCUCAGGGCGCGCCA
rnacentral:tRNA from 1 species